rnacentral:lncRNA from 1 species
UUUCAUCAACCAUAGUCGUUACCCAGAAUAACAAAAACACCUCCACCCACUCAACCCUUAACCAAGAAAAAGUUUUUGUUCCAUUAACUCUGCCUUGUCGUUCAUUCAUCGCCGAGAAUCGUUAGGAUUACGAUUACCGCUGCAACAUUCAUUACUUGGGUUCGUCCUCUCCUUCGAUCUAGAAUCUCCCCGACUGAUUCAACCUUCUACUUUUUCUACUGUGAGUGAGUUCUGUUUUCUCCUUUGACUGAUUCGUACUAACCCUUCCUUCAAUAAGGAGAAGCUUAAGGAAUUCGUCGAUUGAGGAAAAAUAAAGUGAAACAGCUUCACCACCGUGGAGAAGCUUCAUCUCUUCUCCACCGUAUUACUGAUUCACUACCAUGAAACAGCUUCACCCAAUCCGCUUCCCUACCGUGAAACCCUCCGUGUUAUCCAUCUCCACCACCGUCUUAUCCUUCUCCACUGUGAAACCCUUCGAUUAUGCGAUUCACCAUCGAGCUCCACUCUGAGAUUCACCAUCGAUUUUGAGAUUCACCACAGCUUCUCAGCCAAACCCAGCCGAGAUUCACUUCACCACAACCGUCACACCAAUUAUCUUCUCAGAUUAUCCACCAUCGAGCAAAGGUAAAUUCAAUUUUGCAGUAAAAUUCCCUUUCAAUUUUUGGGGUUGUGGCUUUCGGCAUUGUGUUUUGGUUUUAACCUUGGGUGUUGUUUUUGUUUGUUAGCGCUGUUUUUGUGCGGAUUUGGGUUUCAGUUUGGUAUUAAGGCUGUUUUCAACAUAGGGGUCUGUUUUGGUUAUGUAUGCUGAUGAGUAGUAUUUACCAUGUAUUUUUUUAUUUUAUCCAAAAUAUAUCUUGGGAUAAUUUGCUAGAAUGUAACUUCUAAAAGAAAUAGUUGCAUUUAUAGAUCCUGUGAAAGGACCCAUCCUAUUUUAAGGCUUUCUUUUGUGUCAGGAUUUAUAAUACUGAGAAUUUCUUGUUUGCUCUACACCUCGGAUCAGACCCUAAAUGAAAAGGUGGGCUCUUAGAGACAGUUAGCACAUCGGUUGUAUAGGACCAUGGUGUGGAGGGUUUAUGUUAAGAGAAAUAGUGUAAGUAGGAAAUGAAUUGUGCAAGGGGAUUUCUGUUAUGGUUGAGUGGAGAGAGAAAGGUAUCGAGAGGGAUCAUGCAGUUUGUUAGGGGCAGAGAACAUUAGUUCCUUGAAGCAGCUUAGCUCUAUGGACAAUAAGAUCUAAUGCUAUUGUAUUUUCCUUUUAUUUAUGGAAAUAAAACUCUCUACUUUCCUUUAUUGGUUUAUUUUAUUCUAUUUGAUGUUUAUGUAAUAUGGGUUUGCAUUAACCUCCAUCAUAUAUUUAAUCUGAACUUCACGUGGACAUUAGUUUAGCUGAUUUUGUAUGAGCAGGAUUUGCCGUGGUCAUCAAGUUUAUACACAAGUUUGUGCUUCCUGCCAUUCCAUGUGCAAAUAAUAGCCUUUUGAUAGCAUAGGUGAUGUUAGUUCAAUAUAUUUUUUUCUACGUAAUUUGAUUUUAGCAAUUACUUUUCAAUAUAAUACUUUUUAUGUGGAUGGCUUGGUGAAACAGUAUUCCAGCACACAAUAUUAAUGUUUCUUUACACUUAUAUCAUAUAUGUAACUUUAGUUGUCAAUCAUGCACAUAUAUGGAUAUUGACGAUAAAUGAUGAACUUCAUUAUACUUCCUCAACUUUGGUGUCAGUACAUUUUCUAGUUUAUAUAUGCUUCUGUAUGUGCUUUAAAGCAGCUCGAUCAUUUAAGAAAAUGCCUAACUUUGCUGUAAAAUGUUAGUGUGUCUCUAUUGUAAAUCUCUUUCAAAUUCCUCUUUCUUCAAAUAUGAAUAUUAAAAUUUUGAGAGCCAUGUCAUGGUAUGAGCGUAUGAUUUUAUGGAUCAAGAUGUCACCUCUAGGACUAGGCGUGUCGCGGUGUCGGACACGCGUUGAUGUCCGACACUCCUAUGAUACCCGUACGACACGUGUCAAACCGGUGUCCUAAAUAAUUGUUUUUUUCUUUACUUCGACACGCCUAUGAUCGGUGUCCGACACCUAUAUAACACUCAUACGAGUUGUGUUGAACAACUCAAACAACUAUCUAAAACAAUUUUCUCUCUCUUGAUUCCGCACACCAUAGAUACAAGAGUUACAUAUGUUUUGAGAAAUGUUGAUCAAUUAGGGGUUAUAGACAUUAUAGUUGAUUAUAUCAUUUUUAGCUUUUUCUGACGGUAGAUAAAUAAAUAAAGGUCAAAUACUAUAAUAUCUUGUUGUAGAACUUUUUCUAAUGACUAAAUUGCUCAAGUUAGAUGUUUAUAUAUGUAUUUUAAUUUUUUAUUUUGGACCGUCUAUAAAUAAAUUAAUAUAUAUCUAAUGGUGUCGGUGUCCUAGAUUUUUUUACAUUAGCGGUGUCGAUGUGUCCGUGUCAGAGUCCAUGCUUCAUAGGACUUGAAUACUACCUUUUUUAUUAAUCUGAUGACUUAUCAUGUCCUGGUAUAUGUAGAAAGUUUUAAAACUUGAAUUUAUCAAUUCUCACUUUUGAGAGCUAACUUAUUUUGAUUGUCGUAGAGUAUUGUAUCCAACUAUUGACUCCUUUUAAUUCUUCUUUAUGAGAACAACUAAUGACUAUCCAUUAGAACUUAAGCGAGCAAGCUAUAAACUGUCAUGAGUUUCUUUCUAUAGGUUUUGUUGCCUUUUUUUUCUUCGUUUUUUGCUGCUAUUGUUAUUUCAGUACUUUAUAAGUCCCUACGUCUGUUUGAUAAGUUUAACUUCUGAAAUUGAGUCUCGUUUGUUAGGUUUUGUUGCAUUUAUCUGUUGGUGUUGUUGGGUUGAUCUAUGUUGUGUUUUCUUUAUAUGAUGUUCUUUCUCAUCUUUUGAUAUAUAUGACUUCAGUAAGAGAUGGGAUAGACGAGUUUUGAUGAUCAAUUACUUGUUGUAGGAUGCUGUGAAGAGAAACGAUGUAGGAAUAUUAUGAUGCAAGGAUUAUGGAAAAGUGAAAGACGGAGGGGAAUACACUUUGAAACACUGCAAGUGCCAUAACUUACUAGAGUACCUUUUGAAGGUUUAG